rnacentral:rRNA from 1 species
UACGUAGGUGGCAAGCGUUGUCCGGAUUUAUUGGGUUUAAAGCGUGCGCAGGCGGUUGGCAAAGUCAGCUGUGAAAGCCCCGGGCUCAACCUGGGAAUGGCGGUUGAAACUAGUCGACUAGAAUCUGGCAGAGGGGGGUGGAAUUCCACGUGUAGCAGUGAAAUGCGUAGAGAUGUGGAGGAACACCGAUGGCGAAGGCAGCCCCCUGGGCUGAGAUUGACGCUCAGGCACGAAAGCGUGGGGAGCAAACAGG